GUGGUGAGGUUCCUGUGUUUUCUCCACAGGCUAAGAGAGAAGAGGGGUUAUAUUCCCCCGCGGUCACGCCGCUGUAAAGGAUGAGCGUACUUCAUAAUGUCACUGGGCAACCGGGAAGGCGAAGUAUUGCAUAGACUCCUGAGCCAGAAGACCUGCCCACC
rnacentral:ncRNA from 1 species